rnacentral:rRNA from 1 species
CCUACGGGAGGCUGCAGUGAGGAAUAUUGGUCAAUGGACGAGAGUCUGAACCAGCCAAGUAGCGUGAAGGAUGACUGCCCUAUGGGUUGUAAACUUCUUUUAUAUGGGAAUAAAAUGUUCCACGUGUGGGAUUUUGUAUGUACCAUAUGAAUAAGGAUCGGCUAACUCCGUGCCAGCAGCCGCGGUAAUACGGAGGAUCCGAGCGUUAUCCGGAUUUAUUGGGUUUAAAGGGAGCGUAGGUGGAUUGUUAAGUCAGUUGUGAAAGUUUGCGGCUCAACCGUAAAAUUGCAGUUGAAACUGGCAGUCUUGAGUACAGUAGAGGUGAGCGGAAUUCGUGGUGUAGCGGUGAAAUGCUUAGAUAUCACGAAGAACUCCGAUUGCGAAGGCAGUUCACUGGACUGCAACUGACACUGAGGCGCGAAAGUGUGGGUAUCAAACAGGAUUAGAUACCCGUGUAGUC